rnacentral:rRNA from 1 species
AUUGAACGCUGGCGGCAGGCCUAACACAUGCAAGUCGAGCGGAUGAAGGGAGCUUGCUCGUGGAUUCAGCGGCGGACGGGCGGGUAAGGGCUAGGAAUCUGCCUGUCAGUGGGGGAUAACGGCCGGAAACGGGCGCUAAUACGGCAUACGUCCUGAGGGAGAAAGGGUGGGAUCUUCGGACCUCACGCUAUCAGGUGAGCCUAGGUCGGAUUAGCUAGUUGGUGGGGUAAAGGCCUACCAAGGCGACGAUCCGUAACUGGUCUGAGAGGAUGAUCAGCCACACUGGAACUGAGACACGGUCCAGACUCCUACGGGAGGCAGCAGUGGGGAAUAUUGGACAAUGGGCGAAAGCCUGAUCCAGCCAUGCCGCGUGUGUGAAGAAGGUCUUCGGAUUGUAAAGCCCUUUAAGUUGGGAAGAAGAGCAGUAAGUUAAUACCUUGCUGUUUUGACGUUACCAACAGAAUAAGCACCGGCUAACUUCGUG